GGGCAAGCGUUGUCCGGAAUCACUGGGCGUAAAGAGUACGUAGGCGGCCCGGCAAGCGUAAGGUUUAAGGCAACAGCUCAACUGUUGUAUGCCUUGUGAACUGUCAGGCUUGAGUGCGGGAGAGGAAAGCGGAAUUCCUGGUGUAGCGGUGAAAUGCGUAGAUAUCAGGAGGAAUACCGGUGGCGAAGGCGGCUUUCUGGACCGUAACUGACGCUGAGGUACGAAAGCGUGGGGAGC
rnacentral:rRNA from 1 species